rnacentral:lncRNA from 12 species
AUGUCAAAAAAAGCAAGAAAAGUGCCUACAGCAACAAACAGCAUCGUUUGCAGCAACGAUGUGGCACAGCAAGGUUGGUUUUCCGCACGCUCACGGAAGUGCUCCGACUACAAACACACUGAACAUCAACAUGGGCUAAUGCUACCGUCCAGUUCCACAGCCCUCCAUCCCUCCCUGGUCCACCCACCUCAGGCCAGAGCCAGGUCAGGACCGGCCUCCUUCCCGCUGGGACGGAACAUAAACUGGGGUUCAAGGUUACCAAACCUCUUAUUGCUGCAGUAACACGACUGCUCAAACCAGUUUAUAUCAUCCUUUUGGACAAGAUAUUUUACGUGUUAGAUGAGAAAGAAUUCCUAGUACAAGGGACCCAAGAAAACAAAGUGUAGUCCAAAACCUGCACUGAUUAUCCAAAGUGAGUAUUUCCUCUGAACGCUAGGGCUACAGCUGACAGACCUUCCCAACAACUCCACACUAGCAGUAGCAUUAUAAAACUUUUUAAUGGUAUUAUGUGCUUUACAGCAGGCUCUCUUUGGUAUAAAUAUUCUAUUCACCAAGCUAGCAAUAUUUUACACAACACGUCUGCUAUUCCUGUGGGGGAAGGUAACGCUACACUAAACCUAAUAAAAGUGAUUGCACGUAUUUAAUCACUUCUGCAAUAUUAGACUAAACAUUCCAAUGCAUUCCCAGCACUACCCUAUCCGAAAUGCACCGACAGACACUAACAGUACAUGUGCCAUUUCAAGGGAAAGCUUCAAGGGGACAUCGCUUCACUGGGAACAAGAACGGAGCCGGGGUGAGCGCGGUGACAGGGAGAGGGCUCUGCACCAUCCUGCUGCUCUGGCUGGGGAAAGCUGGGCGGGUGAAUUGCUUCAAUUCGACGGGGGCUUGCUGGUCCCUCGUAAGGCAAGCUCACUGUAAACUCUAGUCACACUACAUCAUCAUUUAAGGCACUACAAUAAGGGGACACACCAAACAACUCUUCAUCACACAUACCUGUGCAAAACAAAUCCAAGGUAUCCUUUCCUCUCGUGAAGCUCUACUCCUCUCUCAGUGCUACAGUGAUGAGCUCUAACCAUUGCAUUAUAUCACAUACAUUCCGACAUGAAUCAAUUCAUUUUGGUUUAAAUACAAAGGAUACAACACUUCCAUCCCCAGGAACGUUUAAGAAUUAGACAAACACUAAGUACAGAGUUCAAGUAUAAUCACUACACAUUUUGAUUACAAAGACAGAACAUUUGGGGUUAGCAGGAAGUUUUGCUUGUUAUAUUUUUCUAAUCAAUAUGUACAUAUUUCAUUUUCUGUAAAAUAUUAAAACACCACCAAUACAAAACUUCUAAAAUAGUUUUAAAUUCAGUAAUAAACUUUAAAAUCUGGAUUUUUUUUCCUUUUUUCUUUCUCUUUCUGUUUUUUUGUCUUUUCUUUUUUUUUUUUUUUUUUGCCCCCCCCCCCCCCCCCCCCCCCCCCCCCCCCCCCCCCCCCCCCCCCCCCCCCCCCC